AUUGACAAUUCAGUUCAAAUCUAGCCUCUAUAGCUUCUUUAAAGCUGUUUGUUUUUUUGCUUGCAGAUGAGUUUGAAACAGACACUGAACUUUAUUUCAGCUGUGAUAUAAAUCUAUUAAGACAAAAUGUAGACCAAGGUUUUCUAAUGUCCCAGGGACAAAAUACACAUUGUAGUGUAGUUCCAAUUACAUGCAAUUUGAUUUGCAAUGUGCAUUAAAUCAGCAAGGAGCUGAUUUUAGAAAGAAGGGAGGGUCAAUUUGUUCACUAAACUCUGCUAAGGAUGGUUAAACAAUCAACUACACCAUCUGUGCUGUCAACAUACAGUAAAAUGAAAUCAAACCCACAUCUAGCCAUGGCUGCCAGACGAAAUAACGCACUGAAGCAAGUGAAAGCAUGUUUACUUAAGGGUUUUAAGCAAUUUAAGUAGAACGAAAAUAGAAAAAGGCCAUUUUAACAUCAUGGUAUUAAAAUUAUUACAGGU